GAUGAACGCUGGCGGCGUGCCUAAUACAUGCAAGUCGAGCGAACAGAUGAGGAGCUUGCUCCUCAGACGUUAGCGGCGGACGGGUGAGUAACACGUGGAUAACCUACCUAUAAGACUGGGAUAACUUCGGGAAACCGGAGCUAAUACCGGAUAAUAUAUUGAACCGCAUGGUUCAAUAGUGAAAGACGGUUUUGCUGUCACUUAUAGAUGGAUCCGCGCCGCAUUAGCUAGUUGGUAAGGUAACGGCUUACCAAGGCAACGAUGCGUAGCCGACCUGAGAGGGUGAUCGGCCACACUGGAACUGAGACACGGUCCAGACUCCUACGGGAGGCAGCAGUAGGGAAUCUUCCGCAAUGGGCGAAAGCCUGACGGAGCAACGCCGCGUGAGUGAUGAAGGUCUUCGGAUCGUAAAACUCUGUUAUUAGGGAAGAACAAAUGUGUAAGUAACUAUGCACGUCUUGACGGUACCUGAUCAGAAAGCCACGGCUAACUACGUG
rnacentral:rRNA from 1 species